rnacentral:SRP_RNA from 1 species
GGGGCCCUGCGCAACAGGACACCGUGAACCAUGUCAGGACCGAGAGGUAGCAGCAUUAAGCGGCCCGUACUGUGUGCCGCAGACCAGC